GGAGUCGUGCCUGAAAUAAAGGAUUACUUUGAUAGAGUAAAACAUGAAGGUUAAACUCCUUCCAACUCCU
rnacentral:tRNA from 1 species